rnacentral:lncRNA from 1 species
UUUUGAGGAUGAGGAAUGUAUUUAAUAUCUUAAUUGCGGUGAUAGUUUCAUGGCUGUAUACAUGUCAAAACUUACCAGAUUGUACAAUUUAAAUAUGUGCAGUUUGUUUUAUGUCCACUAUACCUCAAAAACUGUUAAGAAAAUGUAAAAUUUACACAUUACCAGUUUAGAUGAGGCUUGUACUAUGAUUCCCCACCCCUCCCAAAACACAGCACAUAUUUUCUGUAGGAUGAACACAGUUUUUAGGACUAUAAAAUUAAUUUAAAUUAAAAAAUUUAUCCAUGGCAUAUAAACACAUGCAAAUGUGCUUAUCAUCAUUAGUUAAUAAGGAAAUAUAAAUUAAAGCCACAGUGAGGGACACCUGGGUGGCUCAGUGGUUGAACAUCUGCCUUCAGCUCAGGGCAUGAUCCUGGGGUCCCUGCAUGAAGCCUGAUUCUCCCUCUGCCUAUGUCUCUGCUUCUCUCUCUGUGUAUCUCUCAUGAAUAAACAAAUAAAUAAAAUCUUAAAAAAAAACCACAUUGAGAUCCAAUAUAGUUGUUGGGGAAAAUGAUAAAGUUUGUUUAAUAUUAAUAUGGUUUCAUACUACAGCAAGAAUUCAUCAGAUUGGGGCACAUGGGUAGCUCAUUCUGGGAAGCAUCUGACUCUUGGUUUCAGCUCAGGUCAUAAUCUCAGGGUCCUGGGAUUGAGCCCAUGUCUGAGUUCAGUGAGGAGUCUGCUUGAGGAUUUUCUCCCUCUGUACCACCCUCAACCCUGCUUGCAAGUGUGUGCAAAUAAACAAACAAACAAACAAAUCUUUAAAAAAACAUUCAUCUGAUUUACAAAUAACAUGAACUUCUAAUCUUUAAAAGAAAAAUCCAUUUUCUGUUUUAUUACAAUGUUUUACAGAGCUUCUGUCUGGUGCCACCCUGUCCAGCUGCAGUAAGUCAUUCUAACAUGUACUAUUAGCAACCCAGGUUUGUUCUCUAUUAGUCUCCACUAAAGGAAACAGAGUUCCUUGAUGACAAUUUAUUCUAUAUUUGAGAAAGAAUAACUCAAGCUGAGUUUUGAGUUAUCUUAAUUAUUAUCACGAAGAAACAAUGUUUUUAGCAGUUCCUGGUGGGGGUGAGGUUAAAAAAGAUAAAGAGGGUAACUUGACAAGAGGGCUGCUAGGGGCAAGUAGAAACAAUCUAAGCAACAACUAGGAAAGAUUUUACAUUCACCAUAAAUGUUAAGAUUAGAAAGACUAACAACCACAAGUAUUGGAGAAAAUGUGAAGCAACUAGAAGUUUCACACAUUGUAGCAGGCAUGUAAAAUGACACGAUCCUUUUGAAAAAGGGUCUGGUAGGACCCUUAUUAAGCUAAACAGAUGUCUACUGUAGGACCCAACAAUUCCAUCCUUAGAUGUUUACCCAAGAGGAAUAGACAUAUGUUCACAAAAAGUAUAUCCAAGAUGUUCUGAGCACUUUUUUCAUAACAGAAAGAAAGAAAGAAAGAAAGAAAGAAAGAAAGAAAGAAAGAAAGAAAGAAAGAAAAGAAAAGAAAAGAAACGAAGAAAAAAAAAAAAAAAGCAAGCAGAAACAGCCCAGGUGUCCAUCAACAGGAAAAUGGAAAAAACAAACUGGCACAUUCAUACAAAAGACUACUCAGCAAUAAAAAGGAAUGAAUCACUGGUACAUGUGACAUGAAUUAACUUCAAAAACAUGCUGAAUGAAGGAAGCAUUUUGUUUUUUACGAUUUCAUUCAUAUAAAGUUUUAGAAUGGGCAAAUUUAAUCUGUGAGGCAAAAUAAUCAGAACAGUAGUUAACACCUGAUAGGUGAGGUAGGGAUUGACUCUGAAGGAACAUGCGGAAACUUUCUGGAAUGACUGCUGUGUUUUUAAUUUUGAAAAGGUUUUGGGUUACACAGAUGAAUGCAUCUGCAAAAACUCAGCAAGCUUAUUUUUAACUUUUGUGCAUUUCAUUGUAUGUAAGUGUAUAACAAAAAUUUUUUAAACUAAAAAAAAUAAAAUAAAAAAUAUUUUUUAAACUAAACAUUAGGGCAGCCCAGGUGGCUCAGUGGUUUAGUGUCGUCUUCAGCCCAGGGCCUGAUCCUGGAGACUAGGGAUCAAGUCCUGCAUCGGGUUCCCUGCAUGGAGCCUGUUUCUCCCUCUGCCUGUGUCUCUGCCUCUCUCUCUCUCUGUGUCUCUCAUGAAUAAAUAAAUAAAAUCUUAAAAAAAAAAAA